GCCUCUAUAGCGUAGUGGUAGCGCGCAUCACUUGUAUUAAAUUACGAGAUAUGAUGAGGUCUCUCGUUCGAUCCGGGAUGGAGGCA
rnacentral:tRNA from 1 species